rnacentral:rRNA from 1 species
UACGUAGGGAGCUAGCGUUGUCCGGAAUCAUUGGGCGUAAAGCGCGCGUAGGCGGCCAGGUAAGUCCGUUGUGAAAGUCAAAGGCUCAACCUUGGAAUGCCGAUGGAUACUGUCGGGCUAGAGUCCGGAAGAGGCGAGUGGAAUUCCUGGUGUAGCGGUGGAAUGCGCAGAUAUCAGGAGGAACACCAAUAGCGAAGGCAGCUCGCUGGGACGGUACUGACGCUAAGGCGCGAAAGCGUGGGGAGCAAACAGG